rnacentral:rRNA from 1 species
AUUGAACGCUGGCGGCAUGCCUUACACAUGCAAGUCGAACGGUAACAGGUCUUCGGAUGCUGACGAGUGGCGAACGGGUGAGUAAUACAUCGGAACGUGCCUAGUAGUGGGGGAUAACUACUCGAAAGAGUGGCUAAUACCGCAUGAGAUCUACGGAUGAAAGCAGGGGAUCGCAAGACCUUGUGCUACUAGAGCGGCCGAUGGCAGAUUAGGUAGUUGGUGGGAUAAAAGCUUACCAAGCCGACGAUCUGUAGCUGGUCUGAGAGGACGAUCAGCCACACGAGGACUGAGAGACGGCCCAGACUCCUACGGGAGGCAGCAGUGGGGAAUGGUGGACAUUGGGCGAAAGCCUGUUCCAGCAAUGCCGCGUGCAGAAUGAAGGCCUUCGGGUUGUAAACUGUUUUUGUACGGAACGAAAAGCCCCGGGUUAAUACCCUGGGGUCAUGACGGUACCGUAAGAAUAAGCACCGGCUAACUACGUGCCAGCCGCCGCGGUAA